GGCUUGUUGAUUAUAAUUUCAGGUCUAGCCUGCCCAAUGAUUUUUAAAUGGCUGCGGUAUAUUGACCGUACAAAGGUAGCAUAAUCACUAGUUUCUUAAUUAGAAGCUUGAAUGAAAGGUUUGAUGAAAAAAUAGCUGUCUCUUUAAAAAUUUAAUAGAAUUUUAUUUUUAAGUGAAAAGGCUUAGAUGUGAAUAAAAGACGAGAAGACCCUAUAGAGUUUUAUAUUUAAGAUAAAUGUUAAAGUUUCUAGAAUUAGAAAUUUUUGUUUGUUUAAAAUAUUUUGUUGGGGUGACAGAAAAAUUAACUAAACUUUUUUAAAAUAUACAUUACACUAAUGUGUGGAUGGAAGAUCCUUGUUUAAAGAUUGAAAGAUUAAAUUACCUUAGGGAUAACAGCGUAAUUUUUUAUAGAGUUCUUAUCGAAUAAAAAGUUUGCGACCUCGAUGUUGGAUUAAAAUUUAUUUUUGGCGGAGAAGCUAGAAUAUUAGGUCUGUUCGACCUUUGAAAUUUUACAUGAUCUGAGUUUAAACCGGUGUGAG
rnacentral:rRNA from 1 species